UACGGAGGGGGCUAGCGUUGUUCGGAAUUACUGGGCGUAAAGCGCACGUAGGCGGCUUUGCAAGUUAGAGGUGAAAGACCGGGGCUCAACUCCGGAAUUGCCUUUAAAACUGCAUCGCUAGGAUUGUGGAGAGGUAAGUGGAAUUCCGAGUGUAGAGGUGAAAUUCGUAGAUAUUCGGAAGAACACCAGUGGCGAAGGCGACUUACUGGACACAUAUUGACGCUGAGGUGCGAAAGCGUGGGGAGCAAACAGG
rnacentral:rRNA from 1 species